rnacentral:rRNA from 1 species
AGAGUUUGAUCCUGGCUCAGAAUCAACGCUGGCGGCGCGCCUAACACAUGCAAGUCGAACGAGAAAGCGGGAGCAAUCUCGCAAGUAAAGUGGCGUACGGGUGAGUAACACGUGGAUGAUCUACCCUGGAGUGGGGAAUAACGCUGGGAAACCGGCGCUAAUACCGCAUAUUCCCGAGAGGGGAAAGCAGCAAUGCGCUCGAGGAGGAGUCCGCGGCCGAUUAGCUAGUUGGCAGGGUAAAAGCCUACCAAGGCAAUGAUCGGUAGCCGGCCUGAGAGGGCACACGGCCACACUGGCACUGAAACACGGGCCAGACUCCUACGGGAGGCAGCAGUGGGGAAUCUUGCACAAUGGGGGAAACCCUGAUGCAGCGACGCCGCGUGAGCGAUGAAGCCCUUCGGGGUGUAAAGCUCUUUCGGCAGGGAAGAUGAUGACGGUACCUGCAGAAGCAGCUGCGGCUAACUACGUGCCAGCAGCCGCGGUAAUACGUAGGCAGCAAGCGUUGUUCGGAGUUACUGGGCGUAAAGGGUGUGUAGGUGGCCUGUUAAGUUCCGUGUGAAAUCUCCCGGCUCAACCGGGAGGGUGCGCGGAAAACUGGCGGGCUAGAGUGCGGGAUGGGAGAGUGGAAUUCCUGGUGUAGCGGUGAAAUGCGUAGAUAUCAGGAGGAACACCGGCGGUGUAGACGGCUCUCCGGACCGUAACUGACGCUGAGACACGAAAGCGUGGGUAGCAAACAGGAUUAGAUACCCUGGUAGUCCACGCCCUAAACGAUGCACAUUAGGUGUAGGUCAUUCAGUUGAUCUGUGCCGGAGCUAACGCGUUAAAUGUGCCGCCUGGGGAGUACAGUCGCAAGGCUGAAACUCAAAGGAAUUGACGGGGGCCCGCACAAGCGGUGGAGCAUGUGGUUCAAUUCGACGCAACGCGAAGAACCUUACCUGGGCUCGAACGGCUGGUCAACGACUGUGGAAACACGGUUACUCCGCAAGGGGGUCCAGUCGAAGUGCUGCAUGGCU